AUAACGCUGUUAUUGACGAGAUCACACCCAAGCUGAUCAGAGAUCUGCCCAAUUCUUGCACCUACCGCAAGGCCUUGGGAGAAAUGGUGGUGCAGCAGGAGAGCAGAAAUGUAACCAUCGCCAUCAUAAGGCCCUCCACUGUGGGAGCGACGUGGCACGACCCUUUCCCAGGGUUGGGUUGAUAAUCUAAAUGGACCUAGCAGACUCGUUA
rnacentral:lncRNA from 1 species